AAGCUACUCCCUCUGUUCGAAAUUACUUGUCGCAGAAAUGGAUGUAUCUAGACGUAUUUUAGUUCUAGAUACAUCCAUUUCCGAGACAAGUAAUUCCGAACGGAGGGAGUAGACA
rfam:Triticum aestivum genome assembly, contig: Triticum_aestivum_CS42_TGACv1_scaffold_050014_1BS